GCGGUAACAGGUGUAGCAAUACAUGCUGACGAGCGGCGAACGGGUGAGUAAUGCUUCGGAAUCUGCCCAAUGGUGGGGAAUAACCAGCCGAAAGGUUGGCUAAUACCGCAUAAGUCCUACGGGGGAAAGCAGGGGAUCGCAAGACCUUGCGCCGAUGGAUGAGCCGAAGUCGGAUUAGCUAGUUGGUAGGGUAACGGCCUACCAAGGCGACGAUCCGUAGCUGGUCUGAGAGGACGACCAGCCACACUGGGACUGAGACACGGCCCAGACUCCUACGGGAGGCAGCAGUGGGGAAUAUUGGACAAUGGGGGAAACCCUGAUCCAGCGACGCCGCGUGUGUGAAGAAGGCCUGCGGGUUGUAAAGCACUUUUAGUGGGGAUGAAAAGCUCAGGGCUAACACCUCUGGGUCUUGACCUAACCCAAAGAAAAAGCACCGGCUAACUCUGUGCCAGCAGCCGCGGUAAUACAGAGGGUGCGAGCGUUAAUCGGAAUUACUGGGCGUAAAGCGUGCGUAGACGGUUAUGUAAGUCGGGUGUGAAAGCCCCGGGCUCAACC
rnacentral:rRNA from 1 species